GGCGCUGAUGUUGUGGCUCUACGGGCAACGGCGUUGGGCUCUAAAAAAGCACAUGCAGAGUUGAGACCAAAACAAAAGAGAAGGGAAGGUGGGCGUCGGGCAGUGAAGAAAUGAAGGGGAGGAAAAAUUAAUGGAGCAGAGAAAACAAGAGGAGAAGAGAANUUUAAGGGAGGUGAGUGGCACUGGUUAGAGAAGAAAUAAGGAGAGAAUGGUGGGAGA
rnacentral:misc_RNA from 1 species